GGGAAUACUGCUGUUGACUUAUUUUCUACAAUCAAAACAGAAAGAGGAGUAGGAGAGAAAAGUCUGCAUUCUGGUUUUUACUCUGCAGUGUUCUUUAUCUCUCAUACAGCAUCUGCACUAUGAAAUUCACCCUGAAUGAAAGGAAACUCAGAUGUCUUUACUUCCAGCAGAGAGGACACAACUCUCAGGCUGAAUUAGGCCAUUUGAAGAGGUUUACCAAAAUCUCCGUGGGUUACAGACACAAGACUUUUCUCUCACACUGGUCUGGACUGAGCACAGGGUGGUUGUAG
rnacentral:lncRNA from 12 species